rnacentral:miRNA from 1 species
ACUGCAUUAAGAGCACUUAAAGU